rnacentral:rRNA from 1 species
GGUGAACGCUGGCGGCGUGCUUAAGACAUGCAAGUCGAACGCAGUCUUCGGACUGAGUGGCGCACGGGUGAGUGACACGUAACUGACCUACCCCCAAGUCGCGGAUAACUGGCCGAAAGGUCAGCUAAUACGUGAUGUGAUGUCCCCUUUCUGGGGGGCCAUUAAAGGUUUACUGCUUGGGGAUGGGGUUGCGUUCCAUCAGCUAGUUGGCGGGGUAAAGGCCCACCAAGGCAACGACGGAUAGCCGGCCUGAGAGGGUGGCCGGCCACAGGGGCACGGGGACACGGGUCCCACUCCUACGGGAGGCAGCAGUUAGGAAUCUUCCACAAUGGGCGAAAGCCUGAUGGAGCGACGCCGCGUGAGGGAUGAAGGUUCUCGGAUCGUAAACCUCUGAAUCAGGGACGAAAGACGCGUAAGCGGGAUGACGGUACCUGAGUAAUAGCACCGGCUAACUCCGUGCCAGCCGCCGCAGUAA